rnacentral:rRNA from 1 species
UACGUAGGUGGCAAGCGUUGUCCGGAAUUAUUGGGCGUAAAGAGCUCGUAGGCGGUGUGUCGCGUCGGUCGUGAAAACUUGGGCUUGACCCUGAGCUUGCGGUCGAUACGGGCAUCACUGGAGUUCGGCAGGGAGACUGGAAUUCCUGGUGUAGCGGUGAAAUGCGCAGAUAUCAGGAGGAACACCGGUGGCGAAGGCGGGGUCUCUGGGCCGAUACUGACGCUGAGGAGCGAAAGCGUGGGGAGCGAACAGG